rnacentral:rRNA from 1 species
UACGUAGGGUGCGAGCGUUAAUCGUAAUUACUGGGCGUAAAGCGUGCGCAGGAGGCUCAUUAAGACAGGCGUGAAAUCCCCGGGCUUAACCUGGGAACUGCGCUUGUGACUGGUGGGCUGGAGUGUGUCAGAGGGAGGUGGAAUUCCACGUGUAGCAGUGAAAUGCGUAGAGAUGUGGAGGAACACCGAUGGCGAAGGAAUCCUCCUGGGACAACACUGACUAUCAUGCACGAAAGCGUGGGGAGCAAACAGG